AGCAUCUAUAUAUAUGGUUGUUUCUAAGGUGCAGACCUUGCGUGUAGAGAAAGGGAGACUGAGAGAUUAUUCGCACAUUCAAGAGGGAAAGAAGGGCAAAGAGAGGGAGUUGGUGUGAGGAAUCGAUUUCAGGUGGAUUGAAGCUCCGUUUCGAUUGUGACCCGGUAAUCCUAUACCUUUAAAUUUUAUUUUAUUUUUUGUUCCCUGGGUGUGUUUUUGUUGGAGAGAGAGGGAAAGAUUAUGGUUUUCUUCGCAAGGAAAAGAGGCAAAGAGAGGGAGCUGGUGAAAGGUGGGAGUGUUCGAUUUCAGGUGGAUUGAAGAUGAGUCUCGAUUGUGACCCUGUAAAUCCUAUACCUUUAUUUUUAUUUUUAUUUUUUUUGGUUCACUGGUGUGUUUUUGUUGAAGAUAGGGGGAUAGCUGAUGGUUAUAUUCGCAAGGAAAAAGAGGCAGAGAAAAGGAGUUGGUGAAGGGUGCUCGAUUUCAUAUGGAUUGAAACUCUGCUUAGAUUGGAGUUGACAAGGGUGGUGCGUCCAGAACCUCUGAAGAAACUCAGAUUGUGAAGUUUAGUUUUCUGUCGUCAUUUGAUCCAUUUCCGUUCCAUUGUGGUUCUAAAAACCAACUUCGGGUAUGUGUAUAUGAUAUUUAUAAUUUUGGGAUUUGAAUCCAUAAUACUGGUGGUUACCACUAGACUUGAUUGAGAUCCCGAAAUUGGAUUAGAUAUAUAGGUGUAAAACUUGUGCUAGGUUGUGAUAAGUUGUGUUGUAGUUGUGUACAUUUGUAGUAGGUAGAUAUUGAACUGUAAUUCGAUAGGGAGUGAGUUAGAAAUAGAAGAAGAAAGGAUGUAGAUGUAGGAGAUCAAUUUGGUGCAGGGAAGGUUGAAUUUGUGGUACCAACGGUAGACAAUGAGUCGAAACGCAAAUUGAAAAUGGAGUUUGGUUCGUUGGAUGAAGGGUAUACUCUUUACAAAACUUUGAUCUUCAUUGGUUUUUCGAAUUCUCAGUCUGAAUAUUCACUAUUUGUGAAAUUUGAUCCUUCUCUUCUGAUUUUGUUGGUCUAUGUUGAUGCUAUUUAGGUAACUGGUCAUAGUCCUACAGUUUGUAAGGCAUUUUUCAAAGGGCUUAGUCAGUUAAUUUCAGUUAAAGACUUCGGUGCAUUACACUACUUCUUGGGUUUAGAGGUUCACAGUUUUUCAGGUCCUUUUCUUUCUCAAGUAAAUGUGCACUGGACCUAUUCAUCAAAACACAUAUGGAAGAGUGUAAACCUUGUGCUACACCUCUUGGUACUCACAAGUUAGAUCACAUUGGUACUCUGUUACCUAUCCUCAUGAAUACAUAUCAAUGGUGGGGCAUUGCAAUAUUUGACAUGAACAAGAACUGAUCUCUCAUAUGCAGUGAAUCAUGUUUGUCAGUUUCUUCAUCGUCCUGGAGGUACUCACUUUCAAGCUGUCAAAAGAAUACUGAGGUUUUUAAAAGGCUCUAUUGAUCAUGGUUUGUGGUUCAAGAAAAACUCUUUGGAUCUCACCGCCUUCUCUAAUGCAGAUUGGGUAGGCUGUGUAUUUGACAGAAGAUGUACAAGUGAUUACUGUGUUUAUCUGGGUAGUAAUCUCAUUAGUUGGAGUGAAAAGAAGUAGCAAACAGUUGCUCGUUCCUCAACGAAAGCUGAAUAUAGAUAUCGGGCUCAUACUAUAGCAGAACUACCUGAGUUUGCAAAAUAUUUAAGGACAUUGGUUUUCCUCUGUCUAAAGUUCCAGUUUUGUGGUGUGACAAUGUAUCUGCCAUUUCUCUGGCUUCCAAUCCAGUUUUCCAUGCUAGUAACAAACAAGCGGAAAUAGAUUAUCAUUAAAUCAAAGAGCUGGUUCUUGCUCAUACCCUCCGUUCAGCUUGACCGGGUGUAAAGACACAGCUCAUAUUCGCAGUACAGUCAGCAGUGUCAUAGUCUAGUCAUUGUCCUUAUCCUUACCUAUUGCAACAGUUAUGUAACUAAUUGUAGUGUUAGUGUGAGGUGUUAGUGUGAUUAGUUAGGCUUGAUUAGUUGCUAAUCAUUAUUGGUAAAUGUAUAUAACUCCAGUGUCAAUCUUAUUCAUUCGAAGGGUAACAUUGGUAAUUUUACAUGCUUUGCUGCUAGCUAGGUAGCUUAUUCAGUCAAAUUCUUUUAUUAUUGUGAAGAAAUGUUAUCCUGUCAAACAGAGAAUAUCGACCAUUAUUUAAGUAGAUUCUUGCCAAGACGUCUCAUUCAGAUUCAUUCUGCGACAACAUAAUAUGAUUAUGUUAUUAUGCUAUUGAACUUUUGGUGAUAUAAAUAUGCAAAUUGCGGGUUUUGUCAGGGUAUAUAUGAAGGUCUUAAGGCGGCAUGCAGGACAUAAGAUGAUCGAUUUCUGCUCCUUAGGCCUGGACAGAAUGCCUUAAGAAUGCAGAUGGGAGCAGACAGCAUGCAAUAUUUUCAUCUUGAAGGCAAAACCAAUUAGCAUUACUGCGCUUUUGGUCCACUCAAUUCGAAAGCGUAAAACUAGAGCAUGCAUGCUUUCCUUCAGUUCGAGGAACGUGUAAUUCCGGUUAAGGAUUUGCCUCCUCUGGAUGCAGCAUUAUGUGGAUUUCAAAAAGGCAGCAUUGAGAACAAGAUGGGAUGGGAUUGUGCUCCGAAGUUCACUACAUUUCAGAUGGAAAAACUGAAAAAUCUCAAACAUGAAAAUAAUUCAUUAAUUUCCACUUCUAAUAACAUUUAGCUGCUUUAUAAAUAAGUCAUUCCAAGUAUCUGUUAACCUGGCAUGCACCAGUGCAUGCAGUCGUCGUGCUUCUUCCCACUGGCUGUGGAUGGAUGGCCAUCUGCUCUGAACUCGCUC
rnacentral:lncRNA from 1 species